AUCUGGUUUGGCCUAUCGCACUAUCAAUGUUAAUAGAUCGGCCAUUUCAGCCGGACAUAUAGGUAUUGACGGAUCACCGAUUGGACAACAUCUUUUUGUGUGCCGUUUGUUGAAGGGUAUUCGUUACUCUAGGCCUCCGAAAUCCAGAUAUUCAUCGUUUUGGGAUGUUAACGUGGUGCUGGACUUCUUGGAAUCAUGGCCUCCUAAUGAGGACCUGUCACUGAAGCAAUUAUCCUGGAAAUUGGUUAUGCUCCUGUGUCUCCUUUCAUGCAAAAGGGUUUCAGAUGUC